CAGCCGCCGCGGGAAUACGGAGGGUGCAAGCGUUAAUCGGAAUUACUGGGCGUAAAGCGUGCGUAGGCGGUUCGUUAAGUCUGUUGUGAAAGCCCCGGGCUCAACCUGGGAAUGGCAAUGGAUACUGGCGAGCUAGAGUGUGUCAGAGGAUGGUGGAAUUCCCGGUGUAGCGGUGAAAUGCGUAGAGAUCGGGAGGAACAUCAGUGGCGAAGGCGGCCAUCUGGGACAACACUGACGCUGAGGCACGAAAGCGUGGGGAGCAAACAGGAUUAGAUACCCCAGUAGUCCCUGUCUCUUAUAA
rnacentral:rRNA from 1 species